rnacentral:rRNA from 1 species
GAUGAACGCUGGCGGCGUGCCUAAUACAUGCAAGUAGAACGCUGAAGGAAGGAGCUUGCUCUUUCCGGAUGAGUUGCGAACGGGUGAGUAACGCGUAGGUAACCUGCCUGGUAGCGGGGGAUAACUAUUGGAAACGAUAGCUAAUACCGCAUAACAGUAGAUGUUGCAUGAUAUCUACUUAAAAGGUGCAAUUGCACCACUACCAGAUGGACCUGCGUUGUAUUAGCUAGUUGGUGAGGUAACGGCUCACCAAGGCGACGAUACAUAGCCGACCUGAGAGGGUGAUCGGCCACACUGGGACUGAGACACGGCCCAGACUCCUACGGGAGGCAGCAGUAGGGAAUCUUCGGCAAUGGGCGGAAGUCUGACCGAGCAACGCCGCGUGAGUGAAGAAGGUUUUCGGAUCGUAAAGCUCUGUUGUAAGAGAAGAACGAGUGUGAGAGUGGAAAGUUCACACUGUGACGGUAUCUUACCAGAAAGGGACGGCUAACUACGUG